GCUGCAGUGGCCUAAUGGACAAGACACUGGCCUCCUAAGCCAGGGAUUGUGGGUUCAAAUCCCACCUGGGGUG
rnacentral:tRNA from 1 species